GUCGUAAAAACCCUAUUUGUAAACAACCAGUCCUUUUAACUCGGGGCUGCGUCAUAAACACGGCGCGCUUGGAAGACCACGAUGUCAUCUUCCUUCUGUCAGGAGGAUCCAAGUGAAGCUACAGGAGUUUCAUUAACGUCAACAACUUGGACCGAACGGUUUGUUUUGCUUGAUGAAGAGCAGGAAGGGCAGCCUGGAGAGAAAGAGAAGCCGGGUUGAGCCCACUACCAUCAUCCACGUACCACGAGGAAGAUGAGGGAGAGAAAUGAUCCUACCAUUAAAGAGACUGUGAAAAGAACGUUGAGAACAUCACCACUCUACAGGAAGACACAGUCCAGUAAUGGGUGUCAGAAUUGCAGUAGUGAACGACAGAAACAAACAAUCCAAAUUACCUGCAGAAAGCCCUUGAUGGACGCUUCAGCUGCAUCGUCAGACUGGCCAGACAGCAAGAUGCCAACUUUAAUGCCAAUUUAUUUGUGUAACAUUCUGUGACCAAAUGUAUAGAUAACUUUUUGUAGAUUGUAAAAAAGAUAACCCAUUUAUUAAAAAAAAACUACACUAGAA